CCUGGAGGGGGUGGGGCAUGAAGUGGCUCAUUUGCAUUUAAAGGGCCAGUGCUCAAAAUGACUUUUCUUAUGUCAUUAAUCAGGAAUAGGGUUGAAGAUGGACCAAGUUCAAUUAAUGAAGAAUUCAGACCCAAGCAUAGCAUUUACAGUUUAUGUAGACUACGGCGAAAUGUUUUAAAAUACAUAGUCGAUAGUCGACUUGAUAAGUUUUUGCUAAUAGUAGGCCAGAGUACAGCUGAGAUAUUGGCCAAAGUUCAAAAAUGGAUAUUUUGCCAUAACAUCUGUCAAAAUCAUGAUAUCAACUUGAAACCAAAGCCAAAUUGUGCAUUUUUCUAUUCCACAUCUGAUGGAAUGCAUUAUGACAUCAUAAGGGUCACGCCCUCACUAGCACCCCGGGGUAAAUAUCAGGGGGUUAGUAAACUCAGUUUUCUGAAAUUUGAAAUUGCUGUAAUAUUGCCAAUAUUCAUCUUAUCAUACCAAAAUUUAAUAUGCAGCCUCUCUGUGCAAGUCCCUCCUCAUAUCCCAAAUUUCGCAACUCUAGGUUGCGUGGCUUUUGGUUGCUUUGGUAACACAUAUAAAAUUUGUUUAUCGUUGAAUAACUUCUGUUCGUCAUAGUGAUUUCAAACUAAUGCCAAAUUAUUGGAAAUUCAAUUCUCUAUCUAUUGCCUACCUCAUUUGUCACAUGCAUAUAUAUAUACUUUGAUUGGCAUCUAAAGUGACCAGGGCUCAAGUGCCUAAUUUGCAUAUUCACAAAAUGGUUUCUGUCUUGAAAACAAAGACAGAUAUUAACUAACUUUGUAUUAUUGACUUAUAGGAAGUUGAAUAUGGUCUUCCACUUGGUACCAAUUUUGUUGACCUUUGAUGACCUUGAAAGGUCAAACUCAAGGUAAUGAUUUUCAAAAUACCCAAUUUUUGACCAUAACUCCCUCAAUUUUGCAGA